AUUGAACGCUGGCGGCAGGCCUAACACAUGCAAGUCGAGCGGAUGAAGGGAGCUUGCUCCUGGAUUCAGCGGCGGACGGGUGAGUAAUGCCUAGGAAUCUGCCUGGUAGUGGGGGAUAACGUCCGGAAACGGGCGCUAAUACCGCAUACGUCCUGAGGGAGAAAGUGGGGGAUCUUCGGACCUCACGCUAUCAGAUGAGCCUAGGUCGGAUUAGCUAGUUGGUGGGGUAAAGGCCUACCAAGGCGACGAUCCGUAACUGGUCUGAGAGGAUGAUCAGUCACACUGGAACUGAGACACGGUCCAGACUCCUACGGGAGGCAGCAGUGGGGAAUAUUGGGCAAUGGGCGAAAGCCUGAUCCAGCCAUGCCGCGUGUGUGAAGAAGGUCUUCGGAUUGUAAAGCACUUUAAGUUGGGAGGAAGGGCAGUAAGUUAAUACCUUGCUGUUUUGACGUUACUAACAGAAUAAGCACCGGCUAACUUCGUG
rnacentral:rRNA from 1 species